UAAGGGCAAAAGCUGCCUGUUUCCACGCCCUCACAUUCAAACUGAAAACUGCGCGCCAAGGUUUUGCAGCAGAACAGAUUUGGAAUGAAAAAGAGAAAUGCCUCCCAGAAAGCGUAGGAAGUGUACUUCGGUCACUGUGAAAAAUCAUGCAGAAAAAGCUCAUGCUACAUCAGCAACCCCUGCUGCUUGUUCAGAAAGCGACACUGCUUCCCCACUGCCACAGGCAUGCCCGCCUUCCUCCAGCACAGUCGCUGUGUCACUUCAGCAUCCACCUGUAUCACUGGCUGUGCCUCGCCCAGCUGUAAUACCCGACAGCAUGGCUACACCACAAGUAUUUGCUGAAGUCGAGAGCCUUCUCCCUCUUUCUUUCAACAAGAGAAAGAAAAGGAGAAGCCUGCGAUUUAGGUGUGGGCAUCGGCAAGUUGGCAGUAAGGAUGAUUCCUUUUGACAGGAUCGCAGUUUUGGAGGGCUCGAUCACAACCAAAGAUGUUGCCAUUGGAAAGCUUCAUGAAUUUAAGUAUGUUUCUUUACUGUUUUACACUAGUGAUGAAAAACGCAGGUGUACUGUAACCAAAACGUUAAAUUACAUCAAAUCUGUAACAAAAAAUACACGAUGAAUAUGAAAUAUAGAAAAAGUAAAAUCAGACCAAAAUAUUUCCUAUGUACAAAACAAUAAAGUUAGAAAGAGGGGUCAACCAGAGAAAGAUAUGAUUGCAAUCAAAUGUGCGAAAUUGUAAAAAUAAAGUCAACAGAAGACUUAAUUAAACUAUAUAUUUUACCUCUCCAGUUUUUUAUGAAUGGCACUCAUUUUGUGGAAGCACAAUUAUAUCAUAUUAAAUAUAGAAGGCAGGAUUUGCACUCUGCCUUUACCCGCUAUGCCACUUGUGAGCCACAAAUUAUUAUUUUUAAAGUGUAAAGGUACACUUUAAAACUUCUAAAUAGACUUGCAGAUUUUCUCAGGGUGAUUUUUUCCGCUGGGCAUCUCAAUAUUUUUUUGUUUUUAUUUACAUACCAUUACAAGAUAAAAUGUUAGGAGCUAAAAACAAUCCUCAUUAAAUAUUGGGUAAAAUCAGUGUCUGAGGCUAAAAGCAGCUUACAUAAAACCACAUGCCUGGUUUAUUGAGUAUUGCAGUACUAAUUGUAUUAUUCAUUAUUUAAAAAAAAAAAAAUAUAUAUAUAUAUAUAUAUAUAUAUUUUUUUUUUUAUUUCUCGAUGGCAUCAAGAAUACAACAGACCAAAUUAAAGAAAGUGCUACGGACUUUGACAUGGCUACUCAUCGACUGGGCUUUCAAAUGCUUGAUGUUUACAGUUCUGUACUUCAAAAAUGUGCCGAUUCCCAGAUAGAAAAACUGCAGAAUGUGUAGUUUUAGAUGACACUGAAAAUAAGGCAUCCUUUGCAUAUAUGUUCAUUAUUUUAAAAAAGGGCUUGUUCAAAACAUUAAGAACAUUUCUAAGCAAAGAAAACCUAAAAUAGCAUUUUAUGU